CUUUGACACCAAGGGAUAAGAGCUGAUUGCUGGCGAUGACUUGGUGAAGGGAAUCUAUGAGAGAAGGUUCUCGAACCGGGUUACGACCAACGCGGAACCAACGAGUUCAGUCGAACAAGGUAACGAGUCUAAGGGAAGGAUCAAGCUUGAAAGGAAUGGAUGGGCGUAGGCUUAAUAGUGAACGCAGACCCCCCUGCAACUAGAUAUGAGAUCAAUGACAACAAUAAAAGAAAGAUGUCGAAAGAAAGUCUUAGCCCAACAAAUGCGUUGCGAAGAGAGAUUGAAGACGAAGAUUUUCUGAUGCAGUGCGGGCACUGGAUGGAAAAGACAGAUAAAGGAACAACCCACCGGAAGGGCAUACCUCAAGGGGCACCAAUCUCCCCCGGCAAAGAUCUAUCUGCGCGAAGCCGACCUAUGGAUAGAAAGAAAGAUGCAGGAAAGGAAAAUGAAAGAAGAAAUCCAAAUUUGCUUUGGGAGUGUGAGAUAGGCAGACGGGGAGUACGCAGCCGAACAACCGCUGGGGUUUCCAACAGUGAUAGCUGAACUAAUCAGAUGGGCCGCUCCAAACCUGGAGCUGACAUUUAAAUCGAAAAUCGACAUCGGGUCCCGGCUAUCCAAAAAACGCAGACUGAAGCAGAAGAUCACAAAAUGCAACACAACAAAGGGGUCGUUAGACCGUAGCUUGCGCUAAGGAAGAAGCUAAUCAAUAAAAAUUGAGACAGGGAGGAGAGGCGAAAAAGAGAUUUUCGAGCCUGCAAGCAGCAAGCAACAACGGCUUUUCAGCCGUUACGCGCUAGCUUGUAGUUUAGGGGUAUAGUAGGGGUGCCCCUUUCUCAAACUUUUCUAUAAUAUAAGGUAAGAUUUUUGGAACCCUAGUUUUGGAGUUUUCCCCAACCAACCUAUACCUUACUAAUAAAAAGAGGCUUCCCUUUUUCAGCUGCAUUGCACUGCCGCAUAAACAAUGGAUCCGCUGGGAUGGAUGAGCAACCUUCUAUUUGGCCUCUGUACCAAUAGUAGAGUGGCUUGCUACUUUCAAUCAGAAAAGGAAGAUUGAGCAAGGCAAAGGAGAAAGGAGUUGUCCCCCCUUCUCUGGUAACCCGCCACCGCAUAUUUCGAAAAAGAAGGAGCGGAGAAGGAAGAACAACCGUUUGACUUUGGCACAUGAGGUGGCGGGUUUGGCUAGGUAACAUAAUGGAAAUGUAUCGGACUGCAAAUCCUGGAAUGAUGGUUCGACCCCGUCCUUGGCCUCGAGGAGUGGUGAGCAGCACGGAACUUGUUUCAAUCAAAUGGCAUAGUAUUAGGGUAGGAGGCUUUCCUUUGUUAUAGAAAUCCACAGACAAGAUUCUGGAACUUCCAAACCAAAGAAAUGCAAGAUGAGAAGGAGCUUUUUACGUUACGCUUCAAUAGAAUGAAUUCGGUAAGGGUAGAAUAGGCCCUAUGGUCGAUCGAAGGUGCUGUGCCACUUGAACUCAAAUCUAUCUGACCUUCAAUCCAUCUUUGUCCAGCCAGCUCAUAACAAAAUGUUAGACCAAGGCUGGCACAACCGAAUUGGUUGAGGAAAAGGAACCCCUAGCGACCAAGCACCCCCGCCCCCAAAAGCGGAGACCAAAGAACCUUAAGGUUGAUGAGGACACGUCUGAACAGGAGGCGGGCGCCCUCUAAGUUGACCACCCUACCCACUAAUAGACUAUGAGGGGGGGAAGGCGAUUUGGAAUCGACCGAAAACCCGAACCGCUUGACUGACCCCUUCAUAGUCCAUUCAUUAAGGUUGGGGAUGGCUGGAACCAAUCAGAAGUGCAAAUCGCGCAAGCGAAGCGGGAAAUGGACCGCAGCGCAACGACUAGGACUCGUGUUGGAGGAGUUUUGAGCGUGUGCUAACACUCAUGCAGCGGCAAGGACCCUUAACUCUCGAAGGGGCCACCAACCGCCCGAAUCACUGUAGCAAACCCUCUCUUUACUCAAUGGAUAGCCCUUAUUCUCUUUCAAUCAACAAAAUGAGAAAUGGAAAAAAGAGGUCUUUAUUGAAGAGGCUUUGCACCUGAAAUAGGACUAAUGCAGAUCCAGAAGAAUGGUCUGGGCUUUCGAAAAGAUGAAGAUGCAAGGGAUAAAGAGACAGUCUUUUGAACAACCAAGCUGACAUAAGGAUUCUAGCUCGCGCCUACUUAGAGCAAAUAGAGAUUCUCGGACGGGCAAAAGCGGCACUCGACAUAUAUUAAACAAGACCAAGAACAAAGCCAUACCAUGCCCUCGGGAGAAAGUAAUGAUGAUUUUCAUGAAUGCUGCCCUCGAGUACGUGUACAAGAAGGUCUUUGCCGAUUCCUAUCAACAUGGUGCAUCUAUUAGUAGAGGGGCAUGAAAAGUGGAGACUUUGACCGUAGGUAUCAAUUGAUAGACAUUUUUCUUGAGGAAGAGAAUCCAGGAUGAACGCUUUUUUCAUUCGCUAUGCGCUGACUGGAUGCGUACUCGCGUAAUCAAUCGAUGGACGGGGGAAUUGCAUGAAUGAUGAGACCGGACUAACCUAAAGUCAAGGCUCUUCUCUCUCUUGAUGGCGAAUCUUGAUUGACUGACACUGGGAACCGAUUCGGAGAAAGAAGAAGCAUGGCAUGAGAUAGGCGGCGGAGAAAUUUCCGAUAGCAAAUUACUUGACUCGAUGGAUGGAGGGAGAGCCCUCCAACUCAAGCACGAAAUCAAUGUUGAGUCAACAAUCAUCGAGAGGGGUACCACCAAGCGAGAUCGAGACCAGCCCCUUGUAUAGGUAUAGGGUGCCAAACGUGCGCUUCUUCAAAUAUCCUAUAAAUCUAAAUAAAGUAGGAACUUCAAAGCUUGACUAAGAAGGGAGAAAGUUGACUUUGAGAAAGAAAAGGGGCGCCCUAGCUGCAAUCAAAAAAUAGCGCUAACGAGCAAGAAAGGGCCCCUUACUAUAGAUAGGGCCUUAGCGCUUUACUAAUAACAAACAUAUAUAGGGUUGACUUUUUUCAGCUUGAUUGAAAUCGAUUCUAUGAUUGAAUAGCAGAAGUGCAACUUAGUAGUAGAAACUCGGAGAGACAGACAGAGAGGGGACUCUUUCAUACCUGUUAACUCCUAGGAUGAGAAGUAGGUCCCUUGUUUUUGGCAGGAAGAGUUCCAACCUUUGUUGCCUCUCGGUAGAGUGAGUCUACUUAGCGAAUUGGCAGAGCGCGGAUAUCUAUUGAUCAAUAUGAAUCUCGAGAGUGGAUGGUUGAUCGCCGCCUCCUUGUCCUGGAGGCUCUCCGGCCGGGGAGGGGCUUGCCAUCGUAACCCUUUCUCCCGGUAUAUGUCAAAAAGAGUGACGAACUCAUUUUUCUUCGGUCAUAGGUUAAAGAACGAGAGUCGACUUCCAACAUUAAGUCUGUUGUUCCUCAGUAGCUCAGUGGUAGAGCAGUCGGCUGUUAAUCGAUUGGUCGUAGGUUCGAAUCCUACUUGGGGAGAUUUUUGAGUUAUCGCUUUUCUGACCUAGCGCUUGCCUCCGGUGGUGUCCUUCUCCUUUGUUUCUAAACUAGCAGAAUCGUGGGACAUCAAAAGCGGUAAGUUGAUUGUUGGUUUUUAUUCCUCACUCUCGUAUAGGAACACUUGGUUCGUUCCAUUCUUAGGGAAGGAUCCACUGGAAAGACUGGAGUAGUAUCUUCAUUAGCCGGAAGGAAUUAGUCUCCACUAGCGUCAUUCGAAGAACGAACAAGAAAAGGGUUACUGUUUAGGAUAGAUGGAUGUGGCCCAAUGGCUAAAGCUCUGCCAGCUUCUUGUAGACUGAACUCUCUUCUCUUUAGGCUCCGAGUUCUUUUUGGGGGGGAUGGUCUAAUUUACUAGUGGCAACGAAGUUCUUAAAUGAAUAGAUUCUCCCGGAAUGCUAGCUAAGCUAAUCGUCUUAGUUCCCUUCAAUUAUAUCAAUAAGCUUUUUGAUUGAUUCAGGGCGCCGCCCCCCUUCUUAGAAUUAGAACCCAUUGAGGGGGGCCUCGGCCCGGGAAGGGGAGAGUGGCCGAGUGGUCAAAAGCGGCAGACUGUAAAUCUGUUGAAGUUUUUCUACGUAGGUUCGAAUCCUGCCUCUCCCACUUGUUUGUUGUAGACUUCAGAGAAGAGAAAAGAGGCAUUCGUCAGCGUAGGAAGGCCAACCGAGCGAAGCUCUUUCUUUUUUUUGGCCGUGCCGUGAAGUGAAAUUGUAUCGUAUGUUAGUUAGAGAGGUUGGCGAACUACUACGAUCUAUAGAUUUCCCAUCUAUAUCCAAUCCCAACGAGAAUAGAAGCGAGUCGCUUCCGGCCUGUCUUGUAGUCGUAGUCUUUUAGCUUAUAUAGUCGUCGGUCUUCCUACAUGCAUGCGUCCGCCAGAAUGCCUCCUUGGUUCGGGAUGAAGCCAAGCCGAUACAUACGAUAGGCGAAGGAAAGACCCCCAUUUCAUAGUGCCAGGGGAACGCAAGUUUGAUCGAGGAUUGGAGAGGAGAGGUGGAAGAAAGGGCUCGGGAUGGAUUUAGGAGUCUUUGUGCGAGCCAUAUGCGGUGAGAGUCGCACGUACGGUAACGAGGGGGUUUGCGUCUAUACGUGUAGUGUGGUGCUUAGGCCUACCAACCCUAUUUGUUCCAUGAUCUAUGGGUCUACUGGAGCUACCCACUUCGAUCAAUUAGCCAAGAUUUUGAUCGGAUACGAAAUCACUGGUGCUCGAUCUAGUGGUAUUUUUAUGGGGAUUCUAUUUAUCGCUGUAGGAUCCCUAUUCAAGAUCACUGCAGUUCCUUUUUGGGCGGCUGUAGGACGGCUGGUAGGGUAGGUGGGUAGUACCGCUCUGCGGCCAAUCUUCCUAACCGCUUAGGGCCGGGCUUAGAGCGCGUGAAACUCAUCACUACCUCGUAAGGGCGUUGAGACCAUAGCAUGUUAUACGAAAGUGCCGUUUUCUCUGUAGUGUUGUCACACAGCUGCCCACCUAGAAGAGCAACUCGCUCUGUAGUGUUGUCACACAAGAUAAGCACGCCGCCCGCCUGCUGGCCGGGCGAAUCGAAGUUAUCUUCCGGUCAACUGUCCACCCAGUCAAGUGCAAAAAACACAGUAGAAUCACGCAACGCACGCUGCUGGUGUGCUUCCUGCUCGCGAGGAAAGAAAGAAGAGCGACAGGGUUCAGUUCAGAUUUGACUGUUUGCAGCAUGGGAGCAGAUUCCCCAAAAAAUCCCUGGGAACAAUGAAAAAAAAAAGAUAUCUCGGUAACGAAAACUAUAGGGGGCUGUAUUGGCGAGAUCCAAUGGUGAACAGCUGCCCAAAAGAAAAACCGCCUGGAAGUCCGAGGACCUUUAGUACUGUACUCUACCCCCGAACCAGCAGCCUUCGCGCCAAGCAAGACCGCCCUUGUCCCUUUCCUUUCUCCAUUCCGCCUCCUUCUUUGCUUUGUUCCAAUAGAGUCUAAGGCAAGGUGGUUCGUAUGCCUACUUUACCUACUUGACGAAAGGGAACGAACAAUGUUUCAUUUCCGAGUUUAUGGAUUAGAUUCAGUCAGCCUCACGACAUAAUCAGAGUGAGGCUUUGGUUAUUGGCAAACGCUUCUCCAAAGGCGACCCUCUCGAGUUUCUGGCUGUUUCCGUAAUUGAAGUAAUCGUCGCCCUACCAAACGAAAGAAGUCACUAUCAAACUGCUCGCCCUAUUGAAGUACCAAAGGUGCGCUCAGCCCGGUGAUUAGGAAAUGGGUUUGCCCUUGAAUUGAAGUGAUGAGGUCGGAAAGAGAGAAGUAGGGAUCCUAUUGACUAAAGGUUGGUUCUUCGCUUUCCUUUAGAAUGGAAGUUGCUAUGAAGCCCCUCUCCUUACAGUGGUUGAACGCCCCUACUACUUACUUUGUUUGAUUCAAAAGGCAAACAGCCCCCCCAACUAGUUGUAUGGGGUGGGGUGCUUGUGAAAAGCUACUUUGGAUAUGAGUAAUUCCUAAAAAAAGGCUUUGUCCGGUAUUUGACAAAGAUCUUUCUAUCAAUAGAUAGGAAUGAGUGUUCGAUAUAGGGGAUAGGAUCCAUCUGCUCUUUAAUCUCAUAAUUUUUUUGUGAGAAAUAUAUAUAUAUAUCAUUUAUCUAUCUCUUGUCUAUCUAUCAUUGAUUCUCAAGUCCAAUUUUUGGGUUCCCCGAAGCCCCGAAUGGAAUGGAUCGUUUCUGCCAACGAAAUGAACGCGGAGCCCGUUCUGAAUGCUUCUACGAUCUGGAAGUUCUUGCGAAGAGAAUAAGAUGCUGCUCUCCUUUCCUUUUUCUUUUCCUCCUUUGCUAAUCUUCCCCUCUAACGCGGGCCGGGCGGCGACGGGCCCGGGAGGAAGAAACCUAAGAGAAGACGCUCGUCUCGGGCGGUUCUUUUUUUCAGUGCAACAUAGGAAAGCGCCCUCUUUUUGUCAUCCCUGCAGGUUUCCAGAUUUUGUAUUGAACGCAUGGCGUAGCUAGGACCCUUCACAUUCUGUUUGAGCCUAUGUUCAAGCCAAACCCACCCCCUAUUUUACUAAGGCUGGAAAGAAUGCCCACCAAGUUCAAAUAAGGGAAUGCUUUUCCCAACCAUUAAAGUAAAGGUUCGACGAAGGGAGGGAGGUGCGGCGGGGGAAGGAAAACGCUUUCGGAGAUCGAGAUUUUUUUUUCAUCGAAAAAGAAGAAGGCCGAGGAUGGCCGUAGGUGCGUCUUAUCUAAAGGGAACACGCUUUUUUGACCGCCGUGGUAUGAUUUCGGGCCCUCCUCCUUACAGUGGCUUUCAGCUCCUCUCCUCGUUCCGCCCUUCCUAUUGGGAUAGCAGGCUUCGGGCUUUGCCUGCCCUUUCUAAUAAGAAAUUUUGGCUCGGCCCGAGAAAGCGCUGGCAACAACUGAAAGGAAGGGGUCCAUGUAGCUGCUGUGUCCGCCCCCUUCUUAGUCAAUGGGGCACAGCAGGUUCGGCAUCUACUACAAAAGAGAGAAUCCACUUCAGAUAACCACGUCUCUGCUAGGCAGCGUGUGGAAUGGCCGAGAGCGGACCUUUUUGGAUAUAUAAUCCAAGUCGAGAGUAGAGUUACAGGAAAAGCCGUCUGAUGGAAAACGACUUUCACGUUCGGUUCAGAGAGCACUUUUUUCGUUGAGAAUUCCUCGUUCCCUUUCGUGUGAAUUCCCCAGCGGCGAAUUUCAAACUUGUGGGGCCCUAUCUAUUCCAUCUCUCGAGCCCCGAAGAAAACCCCCUACCCUUCGGACUCCAUAUAUCUUUUGACUCUAUAUAUGUGGGCACCUGAUAUCUAUGAGGGUUCACCCACCCCGGUUACAGCAUUCCUUUCUAUUGCGCCUAAAAUCUCUAUUUCUGCUAAUAUUUCACAUGUUUCUAUUUAUGGUUCUUAUGGAGCUACAUUGCAACAAAUCUUCUUUUUCUGCAGCAUUGCUUCUAUGAUCUUAGGAGCACUGGCCGCCAUGGCCCAAACGAAAGUAAAAAGACUUUUAGCUCAUAGUUCAAAUAGACAUGUAGGUUAUAUUCGUACUGGUUUCUCAUGUGGAACCAUAGAAGGAAUUCAACCACUAGUAAUUGGUAUCUU
rnacentral:lncRNA from 1 species